AUUGAACGCUGGCGGUAUGCUUAACACAUGCAAGUCGAACGGUAGCAGGCCUUCGGGCGCUGACGAGUGGCGGACGGGUGAGUAACGCGUAGGAAUCUGCCUCAUAGUGGGGGACAACGUGGGGAAACUCACGCUAAUACCGCAUACGCCCUACGGGGAAAGCGGGGGAUCUUCGGACCUCGCGCUAUGAGAUGAGCCUGCGUUAGAUUAGCUAGUUGGUAGGGUAAAGGCCUACCAAGGCGACGAUCUAUAGCUGGUCUGAGAGGACGAUCAGCCACACUGGGACUGAGACACGGCCCAGACUCCUACGGGAGGCAGCAGUGGGGAAUAUUGGACAAUGGGCGCAAGCCUGAUCCAGCAAUACCGCGUGUGUGAAGAAGGCCUUAGGGUUGUAAAGCACUUUCAAUUGGGAGGAAACCUGUCGGUCAAUACCCGGCAGCUUGACAUUACCUUUAGAAGAAGCACCGGCUAACUCCGUGCCAGCAGCCGCGGUAAACUCGU
rnacentral:rRNA from 1 species